rnacentral:lncRNA from 1 species
GGAGGGAGCAGACGCCGGAUGCGAGGGCGCCGUGGUUCAGUGGAAAAAACACUGGAGUCGCACACGUGUCAAAAUCUGAACGGUUGGUGUGCCUCAUUGAUAUUGAUAGCGAGGGGUUCAUUUGUCGUGCUUGGAUUUGGCGGCCCCACAAGAUGCGGAAACUUAGUUCCUUUUUGAGGAGAAAUUAUUGCCUGGAUCACGCCCUGGUAGACCACGGUGGAUUACGUACAAUCACGAAUUCGUGAAAUGCAAGGAUUAAUGUGGCGUGUUAUCCACCGUGGGAUUUGGCUGGUCUAUC